CGUUGAAUUUUCCAGUUUUAUCUCGAAUUAUUUUUCGUUUUUUUCCCAUUUCUUUUAGGAAGCAGAAGAAGUUGAUUUUGUUGGUCAUGUUGCCAUAAUGGCUAUUGACUUGUUUUGAACUGUCAACUCAUGAUAAUUAAGAAGUUGCUCAUAAUUUGUAAAAUUUUUCAAUGAAGGUCCAGCAUCGGAUUGACAGUAUUCGUAUUUAGUCUAGUAAAGUGCCUUUUCUUUUCAAACCAGUCAUUGCCUUACUACAACCAUAGACAACGAAGUGGAAGACCACGAAGGGGGCCAUAAGGCUGAGAGGACGGGAGGUACAGGGGGAUAUAGGCGUUAGCGGUCUUCCACUUCGUUGUCUAUGAUUGCAAGUUGAUGCUUUCCUAGUAUGAAUGAGCUUCGAUCAAAGUUGACAUUGCAGAAUAACCUUUCAAGCCAAAUUCAUCUUUUUCAAAAGGACUUGAUGGAAGGAUUUUGAUCAUACUGGGAAUGCCUUUAUCAAAAAUGGAAAGUUAUAAUAAGAUUAAUUCAUCUGUUCCUUGUUGGGGCAAAGUACUAAAUAAAUUAUAACUUUGGAACACUUUGGAAGUUGAUGCUUUCUCAGAAUGAAUGAGCUUCAAGGUUGAUGUUGCAGAUGUUAAUGAUGUUACAUUGACUGGAUUCCUAUUCAUUAACCUUUCAAAACCAAAUUCAUCUUCUUAAAAUGGACUUGAAAAGAUUUCGAUCAUUCUGGGAACAUUACGUUAAUUUGGAUAAAAACUGUUAAAAGUGUUCAGUGGAUUUGAAGAAACAGGGUAGAAAAGCGUCAUAGCUAGGGCUCGAUCUCCAUUACCUGAGACCGCUACUUAUUACCGAAAGCUUCUGGUACGACAGCCAAAAAAUAAAUCCUAUUAAAAGCUAAUUUUAGUUAUGUCGCGCCAGUAUGUUCCGGUAGUAAACCGGGUCGUCAUCGUUUUUUAUAUUUAUUAAAAAAACCAUAGGUCCCCCGUAAAAACGAAGUAUGUUUUCGUCAUCCUCGUUACAUUUCAAAUCGAAAACAUGUAUUUAAAAUUAUAUCUAGAAUUUGUCAAAAAAUGAAAAAGUGGUAAGUCAAAAACCACAUCUCUUGGAAUUCUAUGAAAAUCACACAUUAAAAUAAUAAUUUAACGCUGAUUUCGAAAAACUUAUUCGUUUUCUCUUCAAAUCAGCCGUUUUUUAACAAUCGAAAUUUAAUUGACUGUAGCGCAACAUAUUUGUUCAUUCCUUUUUCAAUAAUCCGUAAUCUGUAAUAUCCAAUGUGAAAACAAACUUAGUUUUCGUGACACUCUUUCAGUUUUCAACCUAAAUCUUGUGCAGUUUGUUAUGUCCACUUAAAAAAAAAAAAACCAAAAAAUAAAACAACAAAUAAACACACACAUACACAGUU
rnacentral:lncRNA from 1 species